UCAUACAGACCUCCGGCACUUUACCCAGCCGCAGACAGAACAACUAGCGCACGUCUGUGUGUCUGUGUGUCUUUAUUUAACGUUGUUUAACAUCCGCCACACAUAUCUCUAGAGCUAACCCUUAAGCUAGCUGUUAGCUGACGUUUGUUUUCCAAAGCUAAAAUCCGACGCAGCGUUUCGUUUCAGACAACAGUGAAACUAAAGCUCUCCUUGCACGAGUCAGUCGGCUCGGCUCGGUACGAAGUCGUCGACAUAAAGUGGGACCCACCUGCUGGAUCAAAGUGUGUUGGAGAGAAAAUCCAGCGGCUGGCUAGCGCUGACGGCUAGCGACAGAAAAAUGACAACAACCCUCCAACGGCUAACUAACAGAUAACAGCGUCAUCGAUCGGAGAGACCAAACCAAUCGAUCCUUUGAUUAUUUCAAAGCAACUGAGUUUCUUAAAUCGAUCAUUUUGUGUAUUUAUAUAAUUAUCUUUUUUUUAUUUUAGAUGGGUUUUUUUUUAUAUUCAAAAACAACAAAAAACAAACAAGUUUUAUCACGUUUUAUUGAAGCGCUGAGAGACGCCAUUCGUUUCUAUAUUAAAACAUAAUUCAAUGUGUUUAGUUUCAUAUAUUUCAUAUAAUAGAAGGGAAACUUGAUUUACUGACUUACUUUAUAAAGUUGUUUUUCUUUAUUUCUUUUUUAUACACACAAUAAUAAUAAAUAAAUACAUAAAAUACAAUAUAGGAUAGGGGAAAUUCAAAUGUGGCACAGCAGCACCGGGGAAUGUGGUGCAAAAGUAGAGAAACAAUAAAUAAAUACAAUAAAAAAUGUGUAUAAGUAUAAAAAAUAUAUACACUAUAUACAAUAAAGUGGAAUAUGGUAAUCGAAAGUAUUUUAAAUUAUGUAUAAUUGUACAUGUGCCAUGUUUCAAUUUCAGUUUUAAUGAUGAUGCUGAUAAUUGAAAAGUAAUUUUGGUAACUUCUCUGCACCAAAAUCUUCAAAAUCUUUACUUACUUUACUAAUUUGUUAAAUGAUCAAAAACAAUAUUAAGACUAUUGUUUCAUUUAUUUGUCACACCCACAUUUCAGCUCUCAGCUUUAUGUUGAGCUGGUUAAAAUUGCAGAUUUAAUAUGUUCAUAAAAAAAAAUAAUGAAAUCAUUUUAUUACUAUAUGUCUAAAAUCUAUAAUAAAUAUACACAUUUGCACCUUGAUUGCUCAUAAUGGAUAUAUGAUGUUUUAUUUGUUUUAUUAUUAUUUAAAAUCUAUAUACACUGAAUGAAAAGAUCCCUUAUCAUAAAUUUGUUCUCAUCUUAACAGUGGCAAUGUCUCAUUCUGUUCACAGUUUGUGGUAAAUAUGCAAUAGAAAAAUUAAUGAAAAACACAUCUAACAGUAAUAUAAUACUUCCUGUAUGUGUGUGGUGGCUCUCAGCUCAGUGACAUCAGAGUGAGCAUCAGUCAGAGGAGUCAGCUAUAACUGAGAAGUGCUGUGUCAUUGGCUCAUGUGGACAUCAUUACACUGACCAUAUAGGAACGGACGAGCUGGACUUCCAGUUAAACUCGUAAAGAAAACAUUAAAGUGGAACUAUGCUGUGACAACUAUUCUCUGCUCUGUGCAAUGCUGCUGUGUGGAUAGUUUCCUGCUGUGGCUGCUCAAACAGGGACAAGACAGCAACAGGAUGUCCCUACCAGUGUAAAGGGCAGAAGGUGUGGACCGUCUCUAAUGAUGAAACAACACCUAAUAAAAACCCUCUCUAAGUGGAUAGAAGAGAUGCCCACAUUUCCCCACCACCUUAUUUAUCUCUGAAGCUUAUUUACUUGCAGCAUGUUGAUCUGAAGUUUCUCUGUACUUGUUAUAAUGAUGACUUGUCUGAAAACUCCUUGGGGCGUUGGAUAAUGUCUGAUAGCUGACAAGUGCAGCUGUGGCUUACAAUCUACUAUUUAUAUGGCAGACUGCAAUGUGGUCAGCACUGCAAAUUAAUCCAAUGAAUUAAAUAAAUGGUU